UACGGGGGGGGCAAGCGUUGUUCGGAAUUACUGGGCGUAAAGGGCUCGUAGGUGGCCAACUAAGUCAUACGUGAAAUCCCUCGGCUUAACCGGGGAACUGCGCCUGAUACUGGUUGACUUGAGUUUGGGAGAGGGACGCGGAAUUCCCAGUGUAGCGGUGAAAUGCGUAGAUAUUGGGAGGAACACCAGUGGCGAAGGCGGCUCGCUGGACCGGAACUGACGCUGAGGCGCGAAAGCGUGGGGAGCAAACAGG
rnacentral:rRNA from 1 species